UAGCCUACGGGGGGCAGCAGUGGGGGAUAUUGCACAAUGGGGGAAACCCUGAUGCAGCGACGCCGCGUGGGCGAAGAAGUAUUUCGGUAUGUAAAGCCCUAUCAGCAGGGAAGAAGAAAUGACGGUACCUGAGUAAGAAGCACCGGCUAAAUACGUGCCAGCAGCCGCGGUAAUACGUAUGGUGCAAGCGUUAUCCGGAUUUACUGGGUGUAAAGGGAGCGCAGGCGGCACGGCAAGCCUGAUGUGAAAGCCCGCGGCCCAACUGCGGGACUGCUUUGGAAACUGCCCGGCUAGAGUGCUGGAGG
rnacentral:rRNA from 1 species